rnacentral:rRNA from 1 species
AACGAACGUUGGCGGCGUGGAUUAGGCAUGCAAGUCGCGGGAAUCCCAGCAAUGGGGGAACCGGCGUAAGGGGCAGUAAUGCGUGGGUACCUACCCCGGGGUCCGGGAUAGCCGUCCGAGAGGGCGGGUAAUACCGGAUGACCUCGGGAGAGCAAAGCUCCGGCGCCCCGGGAGGGGCCCACGUGAUAUUGGCUGGUUGGUGAGGUGACGGCUCACCAAGGCGGAGAUGUCUAGCGGGUGUGAGAGCACGACCCGCGCCACUCGCACUGAGACACUGGCGAGACACCUACGGGUGGCUGCAGUCGAGGAUCUUCGGCAAUGCGCGCAAGCGCGACCGGGCGACGCCGCGUGGGCGAUGAAGGCCUUCGGGUUGUAAAGCCCUGUCGAGGGGGAGAAAAGCGGGAAACCGUGUGAUCUAUCCCUGGAGGAAGCUCGGGCUAAGUUCGUGCCAGCCGCCGCAGUAACAC